rnacentral:rRNA from 1 species
CGGCGCACGGGUGCGUAACGCGUAUGCAAUCUACCUUUUACAGAGGGAUAGCCCAGAGAAAUUUGGAUUAAUACCUCAUAGUAUUAUGAAAUGGCAUCAUUUUAUAAUUAAAGUCACAACGGUAAAAGAUGAGCAUGCGUCCCAUUAGCUAGUUGGUAAGGUAACGGCUUACCAAGGCUACGAUGGGUAGGGGUCCUGAGAGGGAGAUCCCCCACACUGGUACUGAGACACGGACCAGACUCCUACGGGAGGCAGCAGUGAGGAAUAUUGGACAAUGGGCGCAAGCCUGAUCCAGCCAUGCCGCGUGCAGGAUGACGGUCCUAUGGAUUGUAAACUGCUUUUGCACAGGAAGAAACAACGCUACGUGUAGCGUCUUGACGGUACUGUGAGAAUAAGGAUCGGCUAACUCCGUGCCAGCAGCCGCGGUAAUACGGAGGAUCCAAGCGUUAUCCGGAAUCAUUGGGUUUAAAGGGUCCGUAGGCGGUUUAGUAAGUCAGUGGUGAAAGCCCAUCGCUCAACGGUGGAACGGCCAUUGAUACUGCUAGACUUGAAUUAUUAGGAAGUAACUAGAAUAUGUAGUGUAGCGGUGAAAUGCUUAGAGAUUACAUGGAAUACCAAUUGCGAAGGCAGGUUACUACUAAUGGAUUGACGCUGAUGGACGAAAGCGUGGGUAGCGAACAGGAUUAGAUACCCUGGUAGUCCACGCCGUAAACGAUGGAUACUAGCUGUUGGGAGCGAUCUCAGUGGCUAAGCGAAAGUGAUAAGUAUCCCACCUGGGGAGUACGUUCGCAAGAAUGAAACUCAAAGGAAUUGACGGGGGCCCGCACAAGCGGUGGAGCAUGUGGUUUAAUUCGAUGAUACGCGAGGAACCUUACCAAGGCUUAAAUGUAGAUUGACCGGUUUGGAAACAGAYUUUUCGCAAGACAAUUUACAAGGUGCUGCAUGGUUGUCGUCAGCUCGUGCCGUGAGGUGUCAGGUUAAGUCCUAUAACGAGCGCAACCCCUGUUGUUAGUUGCCAGCGAGUCAUGUCGGGAACUCUAACGAGACUGCCAGUGCAAACUGUGAGGAAGGUGGGGAUGACGUCAAAUCAUCACGGCCCUUACGCCUUGGGCUACACACGUGCUACAAUGGCCGGUACAGAGAGCAGCCACUGGGCGACCAGGAGCGAAUCUACAAAACCGGUCACAGUUCGGAUCGGAGUCUGCAACUCGA